AUUGAACGCUGGCGGCAGGCCUAACACAUGCAAGUCGAACGGUAACAGGAAGCAGCUUGCUGCUUCGCUGACGAGUGGCGGACGGGUGAGUAAUGUUUGGGAAACUGCCUGAUGGAGGGGGAUAACUACUGGAAACGGUAGCUAAUACCGCAUAACGUCGCAAGACCAAAGAGGGGGACCUUAGGGCCUCUUGCCAUCGGAUGUGCCCAGAUGGGAUUAGCUAGUAGGUGGGGUAACGGCUCACCUAGGCGACGAUCCCUAGCUGGUCUGAGAGGAUGACCAGCCACACUGGAACUGAGACACGGUCCAGACUCCUACGGGAGGCAGCAGUGGGGAAUAUUGCACAAUGGGCGCAAGCCUGAUGCAGCCAUGCCGCGUGUAUGAAGAAGGCCUUCGGGUUGUAAAGUACUUUCAGCGGGGAGGAAGGGAGUAAAGUUAAUACCUUUGCUCAUUGACGUUACCCGCAGAAGAAGCACCGGCUAACUCCGUG
rnacentral:rRNA from 1 species